ACGGAUGCAGUUAGCAAUGCUUCUGUGAGAUUCAGGCGGUCGCUCGGCCAGACGUGCAGUUGGUGGAUCUGAAUGGACUAUCGCUGCGCGGCCGGGUCCUGUGCCCGUCGCACUUCUCGCUGGAGCGCGUCAACAGCUGCUGAGCGUGGCCCACACGGUUCAGUGGAAGGUGAGCGACCAGCUCGCUGGUCGUUGUUAUAGCCGCUGGCACCCAGGUUGCGUUUGGCAGAGGGGAGCGGUGCAUGCUCUCCCUUUUUGCGGAGGGCUGGCGUCCUGUUCCGUUCAUGUAGCUGGCUUGGAUGCACUGCGUGCAGUACGUUCUCGCCGGUGAAAUGGCGUGCAGUCAACGCACACGAUGCACCAUGGUUGUUGGCGGCCAWAUGGCUUUAUCCGACCCGUCUUGAAACACGGACCAAGGAGUCUAACAUGUGCGCAAGUCCUGGGGUGACCGAAACCCAGAGGCGCAAUGAAAGUGAAGGCCACUCCGAGUGGCCGAGGUGAGAUCCUUGCUCUACGCGGGUGAGGCGCAUCAUCGACCGACCUAUUCUACUCUUAGGAAGGUUUGAGUAAGAGCGUACAUGCUGGGACCCGAAAGAU
rnacentral:rRNA from 1 species